rnacentral:rRNA from 1 species
AGCGAACGCUGGCGGCAGGCCUAACACAUGCAAGUCGAACGAAGCCUUCGGGCUUAGUAGCGGACGGGUGAGUAACACGUGGGAACGUACCUUUUGGUUCGGAACAACUCAGGGAAACUUGAGCUAAUACCGGAUGAGCCCUUAGGGGGAAAGAUUUAUCGCCGAAAGAGCGGCCCGCGUUAGAUUAGCUAGUUGGUGAGGUAAAGGCUCACCAAGGCUACGAUCUAUAGCUGGUCUGAGAGGAUGAUCAGCCACACUGGGACUGAGACACGGCCCAGACUCCUACGGGAGGCAGCAGUGGGGAAUCUUGCGCAAUGGGCGAAAGCCUGACGCAGCCAUGCCGCGUGAAUGAUGAAGGUCUUAGGAUUGUAAAAUUCUUUUACCAGGGACGAUAAUGACGGUACCUGGAGAAAAAGCCCCGGCUAACUUCGUGCCAGCAGCCGCGGUAACAC